GGCUAUGGCCAUGCCACCCUGAACACUCCCGAUCUCGUCUAAUCUCAGAAGCUAAGCAGGGUCGGGCCUGGUCAGUACUCGGAUGGGAGACCACCUAGGAAUACCAGGUGCUGUAGGCG
rnacentral:rRNA from 1 species